rnacentral:rRNA from 1 species
UACGUAGGGAGCAAGCGUUGUCCGGAAUCAUUGGGCGUAAAGAGCGUGUAGGCGGCCAUGUAGGUCCGUUGUGAAAACUCGAGGCUCAACCUCGAGACGCCGAUGGAAACCAUGUGGCUAGAGGUAGGUAGGGGCAAGCGGAAUUCCUGGUGUAGCGGUGAAAUGCGCAGAUAUCAGGAGGAACACCGGUGGCGAAGGCGGCUUGCUGGGCCUUACCUGACGCUGAGGAGCGAAAGCGUGGGGAGCGAACAGG